rnacentral:lncRNA from 1 species
UUUAAACCGUGGGAUGAUGAAGUGGUUGAGAUAAUUUUCAAUUAUUAUUAUUAAAAAAUAAUAUUAUGAUUUUAAUCAUGAUAUUAUCUCUUAGUAAUAUAUUGAAUUAUUUAAACCUGAUAUUUGUCUAAAUCCCAAUUGAUUUGAAUAAUGAUGGAAUACGGGGAUAUGCAUAAAGCACGGCAGCAGAUAAAUAUGUAUGCAGGAUGAGAUGAUUAUCAUGAAAAGCACAAAUUGUAUAUACCUUUUGGUUUUGGCCACGUAAAUGUGUUUUUUGGGAUUAUAUUCCAUCUUAUUUUGGGUGCAUGGAUACACCUGGAUCAAUGUGGUGGAAAUAGAGUUCUAGUUAGACUAGGUGACAGUCUGGCGGCAUGGGUUUUUUGGAAGGAAAACAUGGGCUUUUUAGAGCAUGGUGAUGGUAUUGUCAGAUUACAAGCAAAGUCAUAAGAAUUGAUGAUAUGCUUGCCGUGUGAAAGGGUUUCAAAGGGACACAUGUUGCUCAUCUGAUAAGAGUCUACGGGCAUAAAGAGACUAAGAAGAUUUAUGCCGAAAUAUAUUAGAAGAUAAUAUCAGUUGUUUUGGUAUUGUUUUGGAGUAUAUUCGGAAAAUGACUCUUUUUGAUUGGCGGUCAAGGAAACUUGGCUAUAAAUACAAACACAAUGGUAAGGGAAAAAGGGUCUCCAAUUUCAACACACAACUGUCAUGCGCAAACUCUCUCAACAACUUUGAGAUUUUUAUUUUCUCUUUUCGCUGACACAUCUUCCGUUGGCAUCAACAGCACUGUGAAAGCAACCGAUGAUAUCUUAAAUCGGCAUAGAUAGCUCUGUCGCCGUAGAAUCAGUCGAUCUCGCAGCAUCUUCCGUUUGCAUCAACAACAGUGCGGCGAGGAUGGUUGGUUACCUAUCCAAGUUUCGGUCAAGAAGGAUUUCCGAAUACUUAUUGAUUGAGGUCAUCUCAUUAGCCUUCUCGGCGAACUGAGGUGUUACAGUUUACUGAGCUCGGCGCAUUGCACACCGAGUUAUUUUAUGAUUGGAUACUCUCUAGUGGGAUUUAGAGUUCGGCAUUCAAACGGUCGAACCACGUUCACUAUUAAGACUUAUAUUCGCUUUGAGUAUUUAUGCCCUUACACUUUGGUGUCGAUUCGAAGUGAGUUUACUCUAACGAAUAACAUCACUGUGACCGAAUCCGACGACGGCGAUUUGUGAACUUCGUAAGAAUAGUAGCCUUGUCUUCAGGUUCGAUAACCCAAGAGGCCGAGACGUGUUCCUUCCUCGGUUGCAAUCGCAAGAUACAGAAGUCAGCCGCGCACCUAACGCAACAUCAACAAAUUUACUCCUCGACCGAGCUCAGCUGACGGGUUGGCACGCCCCGCAUUCACCGAAAGACGUAGUUAGCUUAUAGAUUACUCGGCCUGCGCGCCACGUAGGCUUGGUAGUUUUUAGGGUCAACACUUUGGCACGCCUAGUGGGACCCAGUGCUAAAACUACGAAGUUCACAUGAUCUAUCUCGAUUAGGCUUCAUGGGAUGAGUGUCAUCAUCUAUUAAAGAAGCAAAAACAACUCUUAGAAAGAUUAGGAAGAAUUUCUGAAAGGCAAGAGGUUGGGGGGGGAAUUUUCUCUCCGAUCACAACCAAUAUUCGGCCUAAGAAAAUUGUUAAUUUGGCCGAAGAACAAAGGCCACCUAUUUUUUCGGUCGAGAUUGAAAGUGUGGUAGGCCUAGAAGAAAAUGUUCAAGUUUUUGAGCCACAAAUUGACUCAAAAAAUGAUUCAUCAGAGGAGUGCUCCAAUGACGAACAUGGCCGAGAGCAAGGUUUAGCUGGAAAAAUCACGCCAAUCGACAUGAUUAUUGGCGAUAAAGCCGAUAUGGAGAAAUCUCAUUCAGCUUAGUUGCUAGAGUUAAAAGUUGAAAUUGGUGAAAUAAUUAUGCCCGGGGGGCAUAAUAAUUGUUCAAUACAUUCGGUGGCCAAAAAAUGAAAAAUAUUUCGUCAAGUUAAAAAUGUUUGAAGAAAAUUUUGUAUUCGGCUUGGAAUAAAACAUCGUUGGCCUCCUCCUUCUCAUGGAUCAGCCACUUCUAUUCCUGUAUGUUAGAUUUUCGUUUUCUUUUUAUAUAUUCUUAUCCAUCUGGCUGUUUGAGCCGAUGAUGCAUAAGAAAAUAAGGGGGCCAACAAGUCUAUUUCGGCAAUGGGAACAGAUGUGCAUGGCAGCCUUAUGCAAUCACAUUGGAAUCUCGGUAUAAUUGCGAAUUAGAAUCUCAGUCAGAUCGUCGACCUCGACCCAAUUUCAAUUCGUCGACCUCGGCCCAAUUUCAAUUCAUUGACCUCGGCCCAAUUUCAAUUUUUCUCGAUAUUGGUGGCAGGCCGAGCUCUAGGAACAAUUUCAAUUUCAUAUAUAUAGGCAGGACUAGCCCUCGCCAAGAAGGUCAUCUACACCUCUGCGGUCUUCUUCAUCUUUGUCAGCACCAUCGAAGAAAUCUUCUCGAGCGAGAAAGUCUUCUCGCAGCUAUAAGUUGUGUGGAGGUGGCGUUCUAUUCAUGGCGUGGUGAGCUUGCUAGGGUAUCAUUGAGGAUACCCACCAAGCUCGGCAUGUACCUUGAGGGAUUUGCGUUAAAUAUUUUUGGCAAGGCAGAUAAGCGGGAUCAUGCUGGUUGAGCAGAUUUGACUACUGUGAAAACAUUCUAUGCUGCAAGCAUUUUGGCGUGCAGUGUGCAGUCGGCCUCAGGCCAAUGCAUGUGAUUAUGCAUAAGAAUUCGGUCGAGGACCAUUAGGCCGAAGUCGAAGGUAGAAAAAUCAAGGAAAAUGGGUUGAAAAUUAAGAUCAAUAAAUACUUUUAACCCUUAAGUCAUGAUUCGGUCGCCAUUUGGUUUACCUUUACUCGAUCUUUCGAUGUAAAAGUGGGUGACUUUUCUCAUCUGGGCGAGAAAAGUGGAUUGAAACCACUUUCCCUGACAUGAUUCCACCCUUCAUUUAUUUUAUAAUAGUUGAAUGGUGGGCAGUGGUUUGGUGAAGCAGAAAAAUUUGAUGUGACUCAAAUAUGGUGCAGUCGUGACCCAUAUAUAUAUGUAUAAAGGCAGGCCGACUGUCAUAGACUUUCCUCGGCCACUUUACAAAACUGCAUAUAUAAGCCUUGGCCAAAACUAUAUAUAUAUAAAGCUUGGAUGUGAAGUUUUUGAGUUUUUCGAGGAACUAAGCGGUCGAGGGAUUAUAUGGUAAAAUGUGGAUGCGACUACGAAAAAGUGCCAGUCAACAGAGUAUUAUCUCAGCGCCAUGAUGUUCACUGUUGCUGCAUUCUUUCUGCUUGCCUUCGUUCCGAGCUUCUUGACCUCGACUUAGUGUGUGUGUGUGUGUGUGUAUAUAUCUAGGCAGGACGAGCUGCCAAGAAAAAUUCUUCUCGACCUUCUGGCAAAAUUGCCGAGCCUAGUAUGGAGUUGUGGCAGUCAAGGGAGGCCGCAAUGUUGGUAGAACAUACAUGUUAUUGCCGAGGAACAAAGUUUUUUUUUCGGCAAUACGACGGGAUUUUGUUGGUUACGAACAAUUAAUUUCCUUAACCUUUUGGCUUACGAGCCGAAGUUCAAGGAAAUUGGGGGGCAAUGUUUGGACUCAAAUUUACACUAUCAGCUCGUGUAGUCGAGGCCGUUAGAUGAGUACCAUUUUUAAACCGUGGGAUGAUGAAGUGGUUGAGAUAAUUUUCAAUUAUUAUUAUUAAGAAAUAAUAUUGUGAUUUUAAUCAUGAUAUUAUCUCUUAGUAUUAUAUUGAAUUAUUUAAACCUGAUAUUUGUCUAAAUCCCAAUUGAUUUGAAUAAUGAUGGAAUACGGGGAUAUGCAUAAAGCACGGCAGCAGAUAAAUAUGUAUGCAGGAUGAGAUGAUUAUCAUGAAAAGCACAAAUGGUAUAUACCUUUUGGUUUUGGCCACGUAAAUAUGUUUUUUGGGAUUAUAUUCCAUCUUAUUUUGGGUGCAUGGAUACACCUGGAUCAAUGUGGUGGAAAUAGAGUUCUAGUUAGACUAGGUGACAGUCUAGCGGCAUGGGUUUUUUGGAAGGAAAACAUGGGCUUUUUAGAGCAUGGUGAUGGUAUUGUCAGAUUAAAAGCAAAGUCAUAAGAAUUGAUGAUAUGCUUG